GAUGAACGCUGGCGGCGUGCUUAACACAUGCAAGUCGAACGGAAAGGCCCAAGCUUGCUUGGGUACUCGAGUGGCGAACGGGUGAGUAACACGUGGGUGAUCUGCCCUGCACUUCGGGAUAAGCCUGGGAAACUGGGUCUAAUACCGGAUAGGACCACUUCUUGGAUGUUGUGGUGGAAAGUUUUUUCGGUGUGGGAUGAGCUCGCGGCCUAUCAGCUUGUUGGUGGGGUAAUGGCCUACCAAGGCGUCGACGGGUAGCCGGCCUGAGAGGGUGUACGGCCACAUUGGGACUGAGAUACGGCCCAGACUCCUACGGGAGGCAGCAGUGGGGAAUAUUGCACAAGGGGCGCAAGCCUGAUGCAGCGACGCCGCGUGGGGGAGGACGGCCUUCGAGUUGUAAACUCCUUUCGCUAGGGACGAAGCGUUUUGUGACGGUACCUGGAGAAGAAGCACCGGCUAACUACGUG
rnacentral:rRNA from 1 species